AAGCAUCGGAAGGCGGCGGUAAGAUCCCGCGCGUGCCGGAAGGCAUCUUCCCCAUCCCACGCGCCUACAGCUGUGCUCUUCAGCUGUUGUCCCCCGCCACGCGCUCCUCUUUGCUUCGCUGUCCCCACUCUCCCCCACGCCGCGGGGCGGGCGGUGAGCGCGCAGCGACAGCACAGCAGGCUCAGCACAGCGCGAUCCGACACCCCCGACGCGGAUCGGACGCGUAGCGCCGCGCUGACUGUGGGCACCGCACGCACCGACCGAACCCGCGCGCACCGACGGGACCCCCCCCGACUCUCGGCCACCCCCACUCACCACAGCGCCGUCCGCUCCGUGCGGUGCCGCAACCGCUCCGGACGCCCCCAGCGCCACCGCCGCGCCCCGCCCCGCGCGUCCCCGCGGGAGGAGCCGAGCCCGGCCCGGCCCCGCGGCCGUGAG
rnacentral:lncRNA from 1 species